rnacentral:tRNA from 1 species
GCCAGUGUGGCUCAGUGGUUGAGCAUUGACCUAUGAAUUAGGAGGUCCCAGGUUCAAUUCCUGGUCAGGGCA